rnacentral:rRNA from 1 species
UACGUAGGGCGCAAGCGUUGUCCGGAAUUAUUGGGCGUAAAGAGCUCGUAGGCGGCUUGUCACGUCGAAUGUGAAAUCUCAGGGCUCAACUCUGACAUUGCAUUCGAUACGGGCAGGCUAGAGUUCGGUAGGGGAGACUGGAAUUCCUGGUGUAGCGGUGAAAUGCGCAGAUAUCAGGAGGAACACCGGUGGCGAAGGCGGGUCUCUGGGCCGAUACUGACGCUGAGGAGCGAAAGCGUGGGGAGCGAACAGG